UCUUGAAACGUCUUCUGCAGUAACAGCAGUAACAGCAACAGACUGCUAUGGACACCAGAAUGAUUCCAGCUAUUACCGCUAUGGUGAUAAUUAAAGCCUCAAAGUUUAUCCAGCAAACUCCCCAUCGAGCAUUUGAGAGUGAACAUAACGAAGAUGGUGGAAGAAUGCUUCUUACAGGAUAAUCAAUACAAGUGUUGUUGGUGAAACACCAAAGGCACGAAACAUUUCUUAAACAUUCUUCACAGGACCUCUGGGAAAACUCUGAACAUGCCUGCGCCGGUGCCGGCGGAGUCGCGGUGGCGAGGAACGCCUCGGUCAUCCCGGCGCGGCUCCAGAGCAGCACCAGGCCCAACAGCCGCAGCGUCCGCACCCACCGCGCGCCCAUCGCCCCGCGCAGGCCCAGCUGGUGCGGAGGGCGGGUACUGCGCGUGCUCCGUGCGGGCCGUGCUGCAGACUGGGGGCGCCCCACAGCUGUGCCGUUGGGUUCUAGGGGAGCUUUGUUAGCUUCCCUAUCACCUCGCUCAGGAAAGGGCGGUUCGAUAUUGGGCAGUAGGUAGGCAGGGUACAAGUGCAGGUUCCUUAGUGCUGAAUGACUGCUUCACAUAGGAAACGAAUGGUCACAGAAGUACAGAAUGGCAGGGUUUGGAAGUGACCUCGAGAUCAUCGAGUCCAACCGCCUGAUACAAGCAGGUUACUACAGUAGGACCCCCAGGAAGGCAUCCAGUCAUGUCCUGAAUAUCUCCAGAGAGGGAGACUCCGCCACCUCUCUCUGUUCCAGUGCUCUGUUACCCUCACAGGUGGAACUUCCUAUUGUUCCAGUUUGUGCCCAUUAGCUCUUGUUCUGUCACCGGGCACCACUGAAAAUAGCCCGACCCCACCCAUUUGACUCGCACCCUUUAGAUGUUUAUAUGCAUUGAUAAGAUUCUCUAUUAAGCCUUCUCCAGGCUGAACAGCCCCAGGUCUCUCAGCCUUUCCUCAUACAGGAGAUGCUUCAGGCCCUUAAUCGUCU
rnacentral:lncRNA from 1 species